rnacentral:rRNA from 1 species
AUUGAACGCUGGCGGCCGGCUUAACACAUGCAAGUCGAACGAGUGGCGGACGGGUGAGUACUGUCUGGGAAACUGCCCGAUGGAGGGGGCUAACUACUGGUAACGGUAGCUAAUACCGCAUACUAUCCGAUGUCCUCAGAUGGGAUUAGCUUGUUGGUGGGGUAACGGCUCACCAAGGCGACGAUCCCUAGCUGGUAUGAGAGGAUGACCGGCCACACGGGAACAGAGGCACGGUCCAGACUCCUAGGGGAGGCAGCGAUGGGGAGUAAUGCACAAUGGGCAAAGGCGUGAUGCAACCAUGCCGCGUGAAUGAAGAAGACCUUCGGGUUAUAAAGUACGUUCAGCGGGGAGGCGUUACCCGCGGGAGAAGCACCGGCUAACUCCGUGCCAGCAGCCGCGGUAAUUC